rnacentral:rRNA from 1 species
UACGAAGGGGGCUAGCGUUGUUCGGAAUCACUGGGCGUAAAGCGCACGCAGGCGGAUUGAUAAGUCAGGGGUGAAAUCCCGGAGCUCAACUUCGGAAUUGCCUUUGAUACUGUCUAUCUUCGAGUUCGGGAGAGGUUGGCGGAAUUCCUAGUGUAGAGGUGAAAUUCGUAGAUAUUAGGAAGAACACCAGUGGCGAAGGCGGCCAACUGACCCGAUACUGACGCUCAUGUGCGAAAGCGUGGGGAGCAAACAGG